AAAAGGCAAAGGAAGCUGGAAUGGAAACAAAGGCAUAGGAGGUUACAACAAUUCGACUGGUCGAAAUCAGCAAGAAGGAAACUGGUUGAAUCAGAGAAAACCCUGGAACCAAGGCAACCAAAGAGGUGGUGUUAUAGGUAGAGGAAGAGGUGGUGGUCAAACGCCAGAGAAGAGUCGCAUUCAGUGUUACAAUUGUCAAAGGUGUGGUCAUUAUUCUAGUGAUUAU
rnacentral:lncRNA from 1 species